rnacentral:rRNA from 1 species
UCUGUCACUGACGNUGAGGCUCGAAAGCGUGGGUAGCGAACAGGAUUAGAUACCCUGGUAGUNCACGCCGUAAACGAUGAGUGNUAGGUGUUAGGCCCUUUCCGGGGCUUAGUGCCGGAGCUAACGCAAUAAGCACUCCGCCUGGGGAGUACGACCGCAAGGUUGAAACUCAAAGGAAUUGACGGGGGCCCGCACAAGCGGUGGAGCAUGUGGUUUAAUUCGAAGCAACGCGAAGAACCUUACCAGGUCUUGACACCCCGAUGCUAUUCUUAGAGAUAGGAAGUUACUUCGGUACAUCGGAGACAGGUGGUGCAUGGUUGUCGUCAGCUCGUGUCGUGAGAUGUUGGGUUAAGUCCCGCAACGAGCGCAACCCUUAUUGUUAGUUGCCAUCNNUAAGUUGGGCACUCUAGCGAGACUGCCGGUAAUAAACCGGAGGAAGGUGGGGAUGACGUCAAAUCAUCAUGCCCCUUAUGACCUGGGCUACACACGUGCUACAAUGGUCGGUACAACGAGUUGCGAGCCGGUGACGGCAAGCUAAUCUCUGAAAGCCGAUCUCAGUUCGGAUCGGAGGCUGCAACUCGCCUCCAUGAAGUCGGAAUCGCUAGUAAUCGCGGAUCAGCACGCCGCGGUGAAUACGUUCCCGGGCCUUG